UGCGGGGUGGAGCAGCUGGAAGCUCGUCGGGCUCAUAACCCGAAGGUCAUGUGGUUCAAAUCCCAUCCCCGCAUCCA
rnacentral:tRNA from 1 species